rnacentral:lncRNA from 1 species
GCAAAUUCACAAGAAGUUCCUUACGAUGAUGCCAUAUCAAUCCCCAAAACACGUAAUUUUACAUACGACGAAGCUAAUUGCUUAUCAUAAUUCGAACGCAGAGACGAAUACACAACAAGAAGAAAGAGUAGCAGAAGCAGAAAUUAAAAUUUUAUCAAGUUACCAGAAAUUUGAGAGAAUCACGACAUGCUUUAGCCUACGAAGUUCUUCGAAUUAAGAGGAGGAAGAAGAAGAAACGGCUGGUUCAAGAAGGGGAUAUAGAACAAGGCUUAUGAAGAGAGGCUUAGCGGCAUGAGUUGAACAAAAUAAAAUUAAAACCUCUGCAGAAUCGAAACCCUAACCCUAGAUUGAGAGAAGGGGGUUGGAGAGAGAGAGAGAGAGAGGGAGAGGGAGAACGAAGAGAUCCGAAAAAUUCAGAAAAAAAAAUAAAAUAAAAAAGGGAGAAAACCUGAAGACGCGCAAAGGCAGAUUCUUUAGCUUUGAUGCAAA